UCUCUUAUUUCUAGGAAAAGAUCACGAGUGUCAAAUUUUCUACUCAUACAAGAUUCCCAACCAAAUUGAGAAAUUUAAUAUUAAAUUGCUGUGUAAUCAAAUUUAAUUAAAAAGUGCCCGCAAGUUGUUCACCUCUAUUUUUUCACACUCGAAGUUGUGAUUGUGCAUCAAAUCUCGACAGAUCUCGUCGAGCUGAUUAAAUACGUCAGUGCCAAAGUGUACGUGUUUUCCGAGAAAAUGGGCCCGAAAAUCCCAUGGCCAGGCACCAUCUGCUGACCAUGGGGCCCUUAGGGAUUUUCUCGCGAGAACGGGAAAGAGUUGCACUUUGGCACCGACAUAUUUGUAAUCAGCUCGAGAUGUCAUUUAAUACUAAACAUGAGUACAACUUCGAAUACCAAAGUACUGGGGAAUAUGGCCUAUGGACAUUUGCGAUAAUUCUUUGACCAUAAAUAUGCAUGCAGGCAUCGCAAGUACUUACCGGAUCAGCAAGAAUGAUAACUCUCACGGAAGCUUUCCCCGGUGUAUCUAGAGUUAUCAGGUUGCUGCUCGUUAACAAUGUAAUAUCUGUAUCCACCGGGUGCCUGUAUCACAAACUUGCCGUCUUCCUCGUGCACUG